rnacentral:rRNA from 1 species
AUGCUAGAAAACGGCGUACAACUGACGCCGGCCUCCACUUCCAACAGCACGGGCAAGACAAGAAACAAUGGGAAAGAGCUCAACGGAUCCGCCUCCACGGGUUUCGUUCUUUGGGUGCUCCAGGAGGAGGAGGAGAAGCGCCAAGGCAAUGCCGGCGACGCGCAGCCGCCGGCGAGCACCUGCACGACGUGCGCCAAGGGGCACACGUGCCAGGCCGUGGUCAGCCGGACGCGGGAGAUGCGCAGCCUGAUCGACGCCAAGAAAUCUCACCAGGCGCAGGCCCUGUUCGGCCACCUCGCCGACGAGGGCCACCGCCCGUCCCUGGUGACGUACACCACCCUGCUCACCGCGGUGACGAACCAGCGCGCGUUCGAGGCGAUCCCUUCGCUGCUCGCCGGCAUCGACGCCGCGGGGCUGCGGCCGGACGCCAUCUUCUUCAAUGCCCUCAUCAACUCCUUCGUGGAGGCCGGGCGGAUGGGCGAGGCCACCAGCACCUUCUGGAAGAUGAGCCGCCACCACCCGGGCUGCCGCCCCACCAUCAGCACCUUCAACACGCUCAUCAAGGGCUUUGGCAUCGCCGGCCGCCCCGACGAGUCGCAGCGCAUCUUCGACAUGAUGGCCGGCGGCGACGGCCACGGCGACGGCGCCGGGGUCGCGUCCACGGUGAGGCCCAACCUGACCACCUACAACAUCCUGGUGAAGGCGUGGUGCGACCACCGGAGGCUGGAGGAGGCGUGGGGCGUGGUGGGCAGGAUGCGGGCGCGCGGCGUGGAGCCCGACGUCGUCACCUACAACACCGUCGCCAGCGCCUACGCCAAGAACGACGAGACGUGGCGGGCGGAGGAGCUCGUGGUGGAGAUGGUGCGCGCCAGGCUGCGCACCAGCGAGCGCACCUGGGGCAUCAUCGUCGGCGGAUACUGCCGGGAGGGCAGGCUGGAGGAGGCGCUCCGGUGCGUCCGCCAGAUGAAGGACGCCGGCGUCCUCCCCAACGUCAUCGUCUUCAACACCCUCCUCAAGGGCUUCCUCGACGCCAACGACACGGCCGCCGACGACGACGUUCUCGGGCUGAUGGAGCAGUUCGGCAUCAAGCCGGACAUCGUGACGUACAGCCACCAGCUGAAUGCCUUCAGCUCGCUGGGGCACAUGGCGAAAUGCAGCAAGGUGUUCGACAGGAUGGUGGAGGCCGGGAUCGAGCCGGACCCGCAGGUGUACAGCAUCCUCGCGAAGGGCCACGUCCGCGCGCAGCAACCCGGCAAGGCGGAGGAGCUCCUGGAGCGGAUGCGCCGCCUCGGCGUCCGCCCCAACGUCGUCACCUUCACCACCGUCAUCAGCGGCUGGUGCAGCGUCGCCGACAUGGACAACGCCGCCAGGGUGUACCGGAAGAUGCGGGACGCCGGCGUGCGCCCCAACCUCCGGACGUUCGAGACGCUCAUCUGGGGGUACAGCGAGCAGAAGCAGCCGUGGAAGGCCGAGGAGGUCCUCCAGAUGAUGCAGGAGGCCGGCGUCAGGCCGAAGCAGAGCACCUACAGCCUCGUCGCCGAUGCGUGGAAGGCCGUCGGCCUGGUCAAGAACGCCAACCGCACCCUCGGCUCUCCCGAGGACCGUCGUCGCCCCACCCCCAACGCGAGCGAUCACGACGAGCCGGACCGCCGUCCCGACGACGACAAGCUGCAGAGAUCCGGAAGAGCCAGUGAGCAGGCAACGAGUGAUCCAUCAUCACAUGCCAGUUUCGUGCAGGUGACAAGCGCGGUAGGGAUAGGCAGGGCUGGAGACUUUGCAUCAUCGGCGCCGUCGUUGUCGUCAUCACCGUGGCGAUCGUGUCAGCUACGACUGCGAUCGUCGGGCUUUUGCAGGAAUCAAAGGCAGAAGCAGUGUGGGCUGCACAGUCACACCAUCAGCUCAAUCAAGAUGGUCUUCCUCAGUUAA